AUGGAUCACAGAGAAGAGGAGGAAAUGUCGCUGUCCUUAUUCCACUGAAAAGGGAUCAGGAGUAAAAUCUUAGCUCUGUAAAGACCAGUGGAAAAAAUCCCAGACUUCAGGAGAAUCAGGAUUUUAUCCUAAAUCCUUUUAUUUUCCUGACACCCUUGGAUUAAUCAUCAUCAUCAUCAGUCCUGUGGUGGCUGUUAAUCCCUGCUCUGUGGAGUGAUAAAAAUCUUCCUGCCUGGCUGUAACUUGUGGUAAUUGGUCUCUGAAUGGAUUUUCUGUGG
rnacentral:lncRNA from 1 species